CCUACGGGAGGCAGCAGUGAGGAAUAUUGCUCAAUGGCCGAAACGCUGAACCAGCGAAGUCGCGUGAGGGAAGAAGGAACUCGUGAUGGAAAGCUUCUUUUGCAGGGGAGAAAAGGACGGUACGUGAGGAAGAUGCCACGUCUAACUAGGUGCAACCAGCGGUGGCAACACGCAGGCGGCCAGCGUUAUCCGGAUUUACUGGGGUUAAAGGGGGCGUAGUCGGCAGUGCAAGUCCGGAGUGAAAGGCGGUGGCUCAACCCCCUGACUGCUGUGGAAACUGUACGGCUGGAGUGCGUGAGAGGUAAGCGGAAUGCGUGGUGUAGCGGUGAAAUGCAUAGAUAUUACGCAGAACACCGGUUGCGAAGGCAGCUUACUGGACCGUAACUGACGCUGAGGCACGAAAGCGUGGGGAGCAAACAGGAUUAGAUACCCCUGUAGUC
rnacentral:rRNA from 1 species